ACGGCCCCGCUUGGGCCCCGAGGACCGCGCCCGCUCGGGGGCUGCUCCCGCGGCUCCCCCGCCCCGGUGCGCGGUGCCGCUCCGCCUCCGCGGGCAGUGCGCAUGCAUGAGGCGGCUGCCCAGCCCGUGAGUCACGGCUCCGCUGCACAGCCGCUCCCCAGCAGCAGCGGAAAGGCGGCCACCAUGAACCGCUUGGGGAAGAAAGCAAAUGAGACGCUCAUCGAGAUGGCUCUGUCGGCGGACGAUGACAUUGCGAUUCUCACCAAGUUCAAGCCAUCACAGUCAGAAGGGGAAGAGUGCAACGGACCUUUAAGUGAAACUAUUUCAACUGCAGGAUCAGAAAUCCCAAGCAGCUCUGAGGGCCUAAACAGCACUGAGACUACUUUACUCAUCCCUGAACAUCAAGUGCAGAGUGGAAGGAAGUCUAAUCUGUUCCUGAAGCGACGUCUCAGGAUUGAUAAAAGACAUCAAAGCAAAGAUUCUAUUUUCUUCAGGGAUGGUGUCAGGAGAAUUGAUUUUGUUUCUCUCCUAUGUGGAUGA
rnacentral:lncRNA from 1 species